CAAAUAGCUAGGUAUGAUUCUUGCACAUAGUAAUUACAUAUUUACCUUUGCUUGGUUUCUUUCUUAUGUGUAAGUUGAUAUGGUUUUAUUUCCUGGUUCUUUGUUUCUGAGUAUCUGUUCGUUAUUUGGCAAUACUCCCAUAGCAUGUUAAAAGAUUUGACACAUUGACAGGGUGUUUCAUCGAUACCAUAUACACAGCAGAAUGCACCGUUGCCUCUGUUGAAUUGAUAGCCCACAAUUUCUUUAGCGUCCAUUCGGAGGUUUAUGUUUGCGAUGAUCAGCGGCAAAUUUCUGUUCGUACAGUAUUUGGCGUUAUGUUGAAUCGACUGCUCAAUUUUAAGGUGGUGGCUAAGGUGAUUCAAAUUACAAAGAGUUCACAGAAGUUUUCUCCGUCAUUAUUUUUUCACACUCACUUGUAUGACACUGUUUGCCUUUCCCUCUUUACCAUCACUAUUUGGUGAAGUGCAUAAUUCGCGUACACCUAUACAGUACACCCUCCUUUUGCUUCGCACGAAAUGAUAUUUAUAAGUUAUACUUACUGGCGAUUAUUCCAAACUGACAGGUUUCCAGUAUAAGGAUGUUAGUGGGAAGGGAAUGCUCUUGCUUGUCAUCAAUAAUUUACUCCAGAACUAUUCUGACUGGAGAUAUCCGUUGGGCUGUUGCUUUUGGUAGGGCAAGCAAGCAGAAAGAAUUAAUUUAUCUGGUGGUCAGCCUGGCGAAGCAUUUAGGAAAAUGUUCCCCAGGGGAAGGAGAAAAGAAUGUUUAUGUUGGCUGAAAUCGAAGUUGCUCUGGGAAGAAGACAGGAU
rnacentral:lncRNA from 1 species